UACGUAGGUGGCAAGCGUUGUCCGGAAUUAUUGGGCGUAAAGAGCUCGUAGGCGGUCUGUUGCGUCCGCUGUGAAAACUCGGGGCUUAACCCCGAGCCUGCAGUGGAUACGGGCAGACUAGAGUGUGGUAGGGGAGACUGGAAUUCCUGGUGUAGCGGUGAAAUGCGCAGAUAUCAGGAGGAACACCGAUGGCGAAGGCAGGUCUCUGGGCCACUACUGACGCUGAGGCGCGACAGCGUGGGGAGCAAACAGG
rnacentral:rRNA from 1 species